AGACGGAGGUGGCUAGCGUUGUUCGGAAUUACUGGGCGUAAAGCGCGCGUAGGCGGUCCGUUUAGUUAGGCGUGAAAGGCCUGGGCUCAACCCGGGAACUGCGUUUAAAACUGGCGGGCUAGAGUCCGGGAGAGGGUGGCGGAAUUCCCAGUGUAGAGGUGAAAUUCGUAGAUCUUGGGAAGAACACCAGUGGCGAAGGCGGCCACCUGGCCCGGUACUGACGCUGAGGUGCGAAAGCGUGGGGAGCAAACAGGAUUAGAAACCCCUGUAGUCC
rnacentral:rRNA from 1 species